UCUCUUUGCUAGAGGGCACUUCAACCGUGUUCUUUCUACGAUUUCAUCAUUGUUCAAGACAGUGUUAUAAUAUUUCAUCUAGUAUAAAUUAACAACUGAUAUUUCAAAAAAGAAAAAUAUAAUUUCGAUAUCUCGAACAUAACAGCAGAUAAUGGAGCUGCGAUACUUGAAGAUGGACAUUCGAUGGGCGUUCGAUCGCGUUAGCAAUAACCAUAGCAAUAACCAAAGCUAAUAGCUUUUUGCAAUGCGGGUAAAACUAUAAUAAUGCACAUAACUUUACGCCAAAUAGUGCAAUAUCGAGCAAAUUGCGUUUAUUGAGGGCACACAUAAGCAAUUUUACGUCCGUUUUUACCUCGUUAUAAGCUUCCUGCAGAUAUGUCUGGAACUUUUGUACCGGUGCCGCAUCCAUCACAUGAGCCUCUUCGAACUUUUUCUUAAAAUCAUCGGGUUUUGCGUGGUGAGCCAAAACAGCACCCUCUCCACCCACGACAUCCGACAUAUACUGUCGCGCUCGCAUGAUUACCUCAGAUAGUUGAAGCUUUAAUAAAAAGGAAAUAUAAUGACUAAUGAUAAAAAGAGCUACGAACCAAAAGUUGUGGACGACCGAGCGCUGUCAAUUUAACAGCCGUGAUUCCGGCGCCCAUAGAAGUACCUGCAAAGAUAUCAACCUUAAAUUACUUUUUGCUUUGAAUUAUUUCUUUUCUUAUGCAAGACAUAAUAGGAUCACUCAAAUGCGAUGCUUUUCACGAUUUUUUCAAAUACGUACACAUUAUGUUAACCAAUGCAUACCAUCAUACUAUAAUUGUUAACAUAAUUGGAAACAUAAUUCACAUAACGACAUAAUACAGAUGUGUAUAUCAAAAGCGGAAAAAAAAUUAAGUAAAGAGAUUAAAUUAAAAUAAACUUUGACAGCUAUUGUUUCUUAUCCUCUUACUAGGGCUCAAAUUAAAGUACGUAUUAGGAGACUCGUGAAAUAUCUCUGUCUCGUUCCAAUCUAAUGCCUUCGUAAUCAUUUAAUGGCAUUCAUAAUAUUCCUGGAUAACUUCGAAAAUGAUGUAUAAAAAAGAAGAUUGUAACUGAUUCUGAUUCACUUUUCUCAAAUCGAGACAUUCUUUGAUCUAUCUCUUUGAAAAGGAAGCAACAAAAGCGAGAGUUAGAUAACGAUUAAAAAAAGAGAAUGAAGAGAAAGAGAGAAAACGAAAGAAAAAAUAAGCAACCACUGAGGAUGAUUAUUGUUCGUUAGUCAUCGGCUGAAUAUUUAUGUCAAAGACUAUUCGGGCAAAUGUUAUGUCACAUCUUCCACUGGAAAGUAAGUAGAGUCCGGCAAAAUCUACUUGCGGUAUGAUAUUUAUAGAGUGCCUAAUGGACUCACAAAAUUUCAAGUUUCUAUGUCAUAUUCUUCUCAUCUGAAAUUAAUUAUUUUUUCGACUAAUAUUUAUAAUUUUUCCUUCAAAUUAAGUAUAGUACAUGAUUUGUUAUUUUUAAUAUACAUAUGUAUUAUACAAAAUGUCUUUGUUUAUUUAUUUAUAAGUACUCCAUUUGUUGAGAUAGUUAUAGUUUGUGAUAUAUCUUUUUAUAAGAUGUAAUUCUUUGAUUUGUUCGAAUAAGUAUGUCAACAGUUAUCAAUAAUUAAGAAAAUUUUCUUACAUAAAUACAUAUAUUUGAAGAAUUAAGAGCUAU